rnacentral:rRNA from 1 species
GUCGAGGGGCAGCAUGAACUUAGCUUGCUAAGUUUGAUGGCGACCCGUGCACGGGUGAGUAACACGUAUCCAACCUGCCGAUGACUCGGGGAUAGCCUUUCGAAAGAAAGAUUAAUACCCGAUGGCAUAGUUCUUCCGCAUGGUGGAACUAUUAAAGAAUUUCGGUCAUCGAUGGGGAUGCGUUCCAUUAGGUUGUUGGCGGGGUAACGGCCCACCAAGCCUUCGAUGGAUAGGGGUUCUGAGAGGAAGGUCCCCCACAUUGGAACUGAGACACGGUCCAAACUCCUACGGGAGGCAGCAGUGAGGAAUAUUGGUCAAUGGACGAGAGUCUGAACCAGCCAAGUAGCGUGAAGGAUGACUGCCCUAUGGGUUGUAAACUUCCUUUAUACGGGAAUAAAGUGAGGCACGUGUGCCUUUUUGUAUGUACCGUAUGAAUAAGGAUCGGCUAACUCCGUGCCAGCAGCCGCGGUAAUACGGAGGAUCCGAGCGUUAUCCGGAUUUAUUGGGUUUAAAGGGAGCGUAGGCGGACGCUUAAGUCAGUUGUGAAAGUCUGCGGCUCAACCGUAAAAUUGCAGUUGAUACUGGGUGUCUUGAGUACAGUAGAGGCAGGCGGAAUUCGUGGUGUAGCGGUGAAAUGCUUAGAUAUCACGAAGAACUCCGAUUGCGAAGGCAGCUUGCUGGACUGUAACUGACGCUGAUGCUCGAAAGUGUGGGUAUCAAACAGGAUUAGAUACCCUGGUAGUCCACACAGUAAACGAUGAAUACUCGCUGUUUGCGAUAUACAGUAAGCGGCCAAGCGAAAGCGUUAAGUAUUCCACCUGGGGAGUACGCC